rnacentral:rRNA from 1 species
GAUGAACGCUAGCGGCGCGCCUAAUGCAUGUAAGUCGAGCGAUGAGGACCCUUUCGGGGGACCAUCAGCGGCAGACGGGUGAGUAACACGUAGGUGACCUACCCCGAAGAUGGGGAUAACGGAUGGAAACAUGCGCUAAUACCCAAUAGUCUUGACGGGUCGCACCGUCAAGUAAAGCUCCGGUGCUUCGGGAGGGGCCUGCGGCCUAUCAGCUAGUUGGUGAGGUAACGGCCCACCAAGGCGACGACGGGUAGGGGGUGUGAGAGCAUGGCCCCCCACAAUGGGACUGAGACACGGCCCAUACUCCUACGGGAGGCAGCAGCAGGGAAUCUUGCACAAUGGACGAAAGUCUGAUGCAGCGACGCCGCGUGGAUGAAGAAGGCCUUCGGGUUGUAAAGUUCUUUUCCGGGGGAGGAAUAAGGAUGGCAGGGAAUGGCCGUCUGAUGACGUGAACCUGGGAAUAAGCCCCGGCUAACUACGUGCCAGCAGCCGCGGUAACACGUAGGGGGCGAGCGUUGUUCGGAAUUAUUGGGCGUAAAGGGUGCGCAGGCGGCAUGCCAAGUCUGGUGUGAAAGGCCCCGGCUCAACCGGGGAAACGCACUGGAAACUGGUGUGCUAGAGUACAGGAGGGGGAGUUGGAAUUCCAGGUGUAGGGGUGAAAUCUGUAGAUAUCUGGAAGAACACCGGUGGCGAAGGCGAACUUCUGGCCAUGUACUGACGCUGAGGCACGAAGGCGUGGGGAGCAAACA